UUUUUUCAGGAAUUUAUCGUCUAAAUUGCGGAAAAUUUGACAGCUAGUGCUUUUGAUGUGGGCUCUCAUUUGACAACCGCACUAAUUUCGACUGUUGUCAGUUUGCUUUGGUCGGAAUAGGGUUGCCAUCCCCCCGGAUUUGCCAUACAACGUGAUUCCAACGAUGCCAGAUUAUUUAAUGGGAUCUGUUUAUCUGUAUUUUCUUUUUAAAAAAUCUGUAUUUUAUCUGUAUCAUGUCAAAUUCGAAGACAUACAAGACAUUUACAAAAUUUUAACAGCAGAUUUAAGCUUUUUAAUCAUAUUGAAGCAUAAUUUAAAUACUAAAUUGAUGAAAUUUUUAAAUAAAAUCAAUUUUUAAAAAUCUGUAUACACAGAUUUUUGUGAUUCUUGGGAUCUAAAAAUCUGUCAAAUAUUGAUUUAUCUGUAUAUCUGGCAUGGCUGCGUGAUUCCAUUGCCCGUCACUUUGGCAGAUUGCCAGUUCGUGCAUUUGGCUUCUGCCUCCCACUUGCAUGAAGUCGCCAUAGCGCAGCGGUAAAGUGACAGAUCACCAUCCAAAAUGCUUCAGUUCAAGUCUUGCAAAGCAAUGACAAUUUCUAUGAGCUGAGGCUGGGACUAUCAAAGCUGAAUGACUUGUUUACUAUUUUUUGCUUAAAUUAUUGAGAAAAUGUAUUCAAUUAACGAAACUGUCGUUAACUUUAUUUGAAAAAAUAUACAAUAUAAAAUCAAUCGAAACGAAAACAAACCUGUGUUCACAACAUUGGCACUUUCAAAUGCGCAAAAGCCCAGCCCCGGUCGGUCAUAAGCCGGCUGUUUUCGCCGCACAAUAACAAACAACGCAGUAAAAAGAAAAAGACACAAAUCGCAUUAUGGUCGUCGUCGUCGCAACUCGCAAUCUUUGCCACCAAUACUUAUUCGAGUUCUUCUUUCCACCAAACAACUGGAAGAACCACAUCGCGCGCGAGCCAGUGGCAGUAAAUUGUGCCGAUAAACAAUCUUCAGCCCAUCGAGUUUCGCAAAAUUUUUCGAUGCCGUGCUGUGCGGACGCAUAUCGGCUAAAUCUCGGAGAAUUGGGUAAUAAAGCCCUAUGUCAAUUUUUAUGUACAACGGUAAAAAACACGAUUAAAAACCAUUUCUGAUCACUUUUUUUCAUUUCAAUGCAAAAAAAAUUGACAAGACAACAUUUUUUCGAUGGAUCAACUAUGGUCCCCUUGGAACGAGCUGUCAAGUAGGAGCUUUUCUGUCAAGAAGGACCGCGAGGUAAAUUUUUCAAAAUUGAUUUAAAAAUCCAUUUUAAACUCUUUGUGGUCGUACAAAGGGUCAUUCUACUCAGAAAAAUAAGCUUUAUCGCUGUCAACAAUAAUAUCAGCAAUCUGAGCUUCAUUUUAGGACCCAAUUGAUCGAAUCCCCAAAACAACGACAGCCGUCCAUUGCCGGACGCUCCACUUUUUUAAAGGGAUAAGGGAAAACCUCCACGGAAUCCCCAAAUAAGUUUCGCUUGGAGUUGGAGACAUUCACCAACGUUUUUUCUUGAAACGUCAAAACACGGUACGUGCGACAAUCAAGCACGACUGCAACAAAAUACAGUAAUAUGGGUGUGUUUGAGAGGGCUUGCAGGGGCCCGGUUUUAAAGUCACGGGGCAGAGAUCCUGGCGUGGAAAAGGGGAGCACCGAGGGGGGGAGUAUUAUGCACACUGCAUGGAACCAGACCAGGCCGGUCCAUGGAAACCGGUCACUGCAGAAAACGUGGCAACGUGGAGGAAUGCAACAACUUUGGAGAUUCUGUUGCACCGAGUAGAGUUUUUUUUUUCUAUAUGGAUGUAGAUACUGUCUCCAUUCAGAAGGAAGAGAAAUGUAGCAACUAAAGCUAAUAUGCCUGCCUACUAGACAAAACAAUUUGCUUGUAGGAGUGAAGACAUGUUAAGUAGGGCAACCUAAGCAUGUCCCUGACUGACAUUCAACAAGUUGCUAAAGUUAUUUUUGAAUUUAGUUUCUUCAUUAGUUCAAACAGUUUGACUUUUACAAACUGUGUAAAAAUAAGUACAGUCCAAGUCUAGACUGUAUAUUAGGCCGUCCCAAAAAAAUGAAAAAUUGUCUUUGGUGCUCACCCCUAGAAUGAUAGAUUAGGAUGUCAGGAACAAUUUUCAUACAACAAAAAAAAACUCAAAAAUGGUUUACAACUCGCGCGUGGAGCCUGAAUGAAAAAAUUGCAUUUUUCGAGUAUUUUUCAGAAAUGCGCGUAACAAUCAUACUAAAGUUAUUCAAAUUUGGUCGCCUUGGGCUUCAAGUUAUAAUUUAAUGUCCCCUGAAUAAAUUCUUGUACAGACAUAGUCCAUAAAAGCUUGUGUUUAGGCAUGGCAGGGCGUUUUAGGGAGAAAAAUUUGUAUUUUUCAGCUAAAAAAUUUCAAAAAUCACUCCCGAAAACGAGCUUAAAAAUUUUGCAGCCAAAACUAAUGCAUUCAGCUUAUAGGAAAUUUUACAGAGAUCAUUUUGCUUUUUUUAACAUUCAAUUUAUGUCCACGCAAAUCUGACAUAUUUGCAUUUUAGUGAACAAAAAGCGUCGAAUUUUCAAAAUUCUUAGUAUACAAGCGCUUUUGACAUAAAACAUGGGCUACUAUGAUUACAAACAAGAAGGCAUAUAUUUUUGAAAUUUUUAUUUUGCUCGCUCAAAAACGAAAUUUGUUAAUAACAUUUCAUGAAAAAACAUGAGGUUUUCUCACAAUGUGACUUAAACGACAAAUAAUCAUUAAUCAAAAGUAAUUUUAUUAAAGUUCAUAUCUCUAAGCUGUGAACGUGAUUUUUUUUUUUGCAUGUACACAGCAAAAAAUCCGACUGUAAAAUGCACAUCACCUUCGUCAAAAUAAACACUUAAUAUUACACACAGCAUGUACAAUUUUCGCAAACACAAAAAAAAAGUCGCAGCCGACGGGAUUCAAACCCAGCACCAACAGUAAGGACUGGCGCCUUAGCCCACUUGGCCACCAGACCGAUGAAAAAUUGUAAGGAUAAAUGCAUAUAUGAGCUUGACAUUUUGGUCAAGUAGGUUUCCCAUACUGCUGGGCUGCAUAUUUCAGAGUGUAAAAUCACAUAAAAUUGCAUAAAAUUAUGCAAUAUUUAUUUUGCACCGAGGCUUUUUACACGCAGCUGGAUUACUACUUUUUUAGCUGUGUUUGAUUCCGGUUAUUCUCAUAUUAAUAUAUAUAAAUGUUUAUUUUUUAUAAAUGUUGGCUUUUACACCCAAAACUUGUUAAAAUUGACUGAACAAGACUGACUAAUUUUAUCUGAGUCCUGUUACUUUUCACGAUAUUUGAUUAUUUGGGUCGAUGAAACCCGUUGAUGUUGAAAAAUACCACCUUUUCUGUUUUUUGUUUUAGUUUUGAAUAGAAUUUUGAAAAUUUCGUUACUGGUUACAUUAUUUUGGCUAUUUUUUAAUUUUGUUUUUGGAAAGUGAGAUGAAAAUUUUAAAAAUAUUUUCAACUGGGCAAAAUGUCGCAGAAAAUUCAAAUUAUCGAAAUCAUUAAAGAAGGACAAGAUGGUUAGAUUUUGCUUUGAUAUGAAUUUAAUAAAAGGUAAAAGAUAAAAUAAAUGCAAUUCAGCGAAACUUACACACUCAGAAUGAAGAUUCGACUUCGGCAGAAAUAUCUGCCGAACGUGCUCGGCAAAGUGAUAUUCUGCCGAAAUCUCGGCAGAAAAUUCAUUGUUCCAAUAUUCUCGGUUAAAUUUAACCGAUAGUUCGGCAGAUCUAAGCAAAAUGCCGAAGUUCGUCAGUUAAAUUUAACGAAAAUCUCGGCAUGUCCAAAAUCUACCGAGUUCGGCAAUUCAACUGUCAAAUUUGCUAGAAAGUGCCGAGCUGUUCGGUUAGAUGUUGAGGUAGCCAUAUUUGUUUUCGAUAUGAGUAGUGCUCACUGAACUAAGUUCCGGAACUUUGGAUAAAUCGGGAUUUAUACUUGAAUUUCUACAGGAUUUCUGCUUGGAUUUCUACUUGAAAGCUUUUACCAAGGAAAUGCAUGACGAUGGUGCUUGGUAGAAGUAUAGGAUUCAUUCUGGUUCAGAUUGUAUUAGAUUAUACAUAAAAAGAGCAAUAAAUAUAAAAAAGCAUGCAUGCAUAUUGUUUUAAAGCUUUAAAUUAAUUGCGAGAAUCUCGAUUUGGUUUUAUUAUGAUAAAUGCCGAGAUUUUCGGUUGAAUUCGUUUCAGGGAUGCCGAGAUUUUCGGCACAAAAAAGCUGGCUGUCAAAAUUAUUUUUGCCGAGACUUCGGCAGAUGAAUUUUCUGCCGAACUCUCUGCCGA